rnacentral:rRNA from 1 species
UACGUAGGGUGCGAGCGUUGCCCGGAUUUAUUGGGCGUAAAGGGCGCGUAGGCGGCCACGCACGUCCGUUGUGAAAUCGCCCGGCUCAACUGGGCGGGGUCAGCGGAUACGGUGUGGCUCGAGCAAGCUAGGGGGCAAUGGAAUUCCCGGUGUAGUGGUGAAAUGCGUAGAUAUCGGGAGGAAUACCAGUGGCGAAGGCGGCUUCCUGGCCUGUUCUUGACGCUGAGGCGCGAAAGCUAGGGUAGCAAACGGG